AGCAGCCGCGGUAAUUCCAGCUCCAAUAGCGUAUAUUAAAGUUGUUGCAGUUAAAAAGCUCGUAGUUGAAUUUCGGGAUUGGCGCAUCGGUCGUGCCUCACGGGGUAUGAACUGGUGCAGUCAAUUUCUCACCUUCUGGAGAACCGCGAUGUCCUUAAUUGGAUGCCGCGGGGAACCAGGACCUUUACUUUGAAAAAAUUAGAGUGUUUAAAGCAGGCAUUUUUGCUUGAAUACAUUAGCAUGGAAUAAUAAAAUAGGACGGCAUGGUUCUAUUUUGUUGGUUUCUAGGACCACCGUAAUGAUUAAUAGGGAUAGUUGGGGGCAUUAGUAUUCAAUUGUCAGAGGUGAAAUUCUUGGAUUUAUUGAAGACUAACUACUGCGAAAGCAUUUGCCAAGGAUGUUUUCAUUAAUCAAGAACGAAAGUUAGGGGAUCGAAGACGAUCAGAUACCGUCGUAGUCUUAACCAUAAACUAUGCCGACUAGGGAUCGGAUGAUGUUAAUUUUUUUAAUGACUCAUUCG
rnacentral:misc_RNA from 1 species